CGUAGGGUGCGAGCGUUAAUCGGAAUUACUGGGCGUAAAGCGUGCGCAGGCGGUUUUGUAAGACAGGCGUGAAGUCCCCGGGCCCAACCUGGGAACUGCGUUUGUGACUGCAAGGCUAGAGUAUGGCAGAGGGGGGUGGAAUUCCACGUGUAGCAGUGAAAUGCGUAGAGAUGUGGAGGAACACCGAUGGCGAAGGCAGCCCCCUGGGCCAAUACUGACGCUCAUGCACGAAAGCGUGGGUAGCAAACAGGAUUAGAUACCCUGGUAGUCCACGCCCUAAACGAUGUCAACUAGGUGUUGGGUGGGUAAAACCAUUUAGUACCGGAGCUAACGCGUGAAGUUGACCGCCUGGGGAGUACGGCCGCAAGGUUA
rnacentral:rRNA from 1 species